rnacentral:lncRNA from 1 species
UUGGUGUGAAGUCUUGCAGUCAAUUCAUAAUUUAUCCAGAAAAGACCCCCAAUAAAAUUCCCCAAUUCCAUCCAUCAAGACCCUAACUCGAAAAUUAUCUAAAUCUCCAUAUGUUAUCAGGUCAGUUGAUGUCUUCAUCAAUUCUUCUCCGGCACUCAGUUAUUUUUGGGAACAUUACUUGUGCUCAACUCUAAUUGUAGGAAAAAAAAAAUCAAUCUGAUUGAAAUCCUUUGUGACUUUCACCUGUUAUUUUUUGUGGAUGAAGUUAUGAAAUUCGGAAAAAGUUAAUAUUGAUGUAUAUUUUCCAACAAGUUAGAUGAGUUUUAUUAUAAUAGGUUUUAUCGUUUUCCUUAUUAUCAAUGUUAGUCAACUAUAUGUUGCAGAAAUAUAAACGAAGAAUUUAAAGAGCCAUUUUUUUAGCAGUCACUAAUUUGUCCAAAGAAUAGUUCCUUUUACCCAUUUGUAUUACUUUUAGUUCUCUAAUAUAACCACUACAUUAUUUACUUGCAAAAGAUUAAGUUCAUAUUUGAUAUGCUUAAGUUUUUCUGUUUUUACCUUUUCCUUUUGACUUCAAUAUUUUGAAGUUGAAUGAAGGAGUCAUUAGUUGUUAAUCCAUUUUCGUUAGACUGUUAUUACGACAUAUUAUUCUUCUACGGUUGUUAGAUCGGGGAAUUAUUACUAAUAAGAUUAUAAAACAACAGUGCAAUAAUAUAUUCUUAUUACUAAUGAACACCUUAACAGAAAAUAUUACUUGUUAUUUCCUUUUUAAUUUAUGUGUUUAUAUACCAUUUAGAACUUUAUUGUGCUUUGCCAUUAUGAGACAAGUAGUCUUGUGACUGUCAAUGAUACUCCAUGUAAUUGAGAUUAGUCAUUGGAGAUUGGAACUACUCAGAGCUGACUUGGUUUGUUGUUUCAAAAUCUUUUGGGUAGCUUAGAAGACAACAUUUGUGGCAGGGGCUCAACUGGAGCAAUGUCUUGUCAGAGUCGCGGGGAAGAAGCCUGCUAGAUUAUUGUGCUUCAAUUACUUUAUAAAGCCAAGACAGUUAUCUAUUUUGGUAUGUUCCUUUAUUUCAUGUUCUUUUGGUAAAUAACUCCCAAUUUUUAAUUUAGUUGAAUUUUAGAACGCUGUCAGAACUGUUGAAAUUACUAACAUUGAUUCAUGCAAGUCUGCUCCUUUUUUAUCUCCAACAGUGUAAACCAGUUAGCGGUCAUAAGCUUUAUAACUACCAACCGCUAUUUUGAGCUGCAAUUCUUGAUUUUAAUCAAUUUAAGGUGAUUAGUUCCACCAAGACAAAACAGAAAAUAAUUCGAUUGCUUGUUCGCCUUUUUGGCUUACGCGGCAAGCUGAUUUUUGCGCUCUUUGUGUUGGCUUUGCUGGACCUAAAAUUUUCAUAUUAGCUCAACUUCGUCCACCUUGAUUGCUGGGUUCUUAAAAAUAUUGAAGUGUUAUACUGAGAGAAUUCGAAAGCAAUUGUAUCGAUGUAGAAAAGUUAAAAAUGUACAAAUGGAAUUAACACAUCUGUAUUUACCGAUGUUCUGUACAUAACUUUAAACUCAUUUGUAAAAAAAACCACUAAUAGCAAAAGAAGAAAACUAUUACUGAUUUUCUGAGAUUGGUAUUAGUGAAGAGAUAGCCUCUCUACUCUCCGGGGUAGGGGUAAUGUUUGCGUACACUCUACCCUCCCCAGACCCCAUUCGUGGGAACUCACUGGGUUGUCGGUGUUGUUGCUAUGCUUUUAGCUCGAUAACUCUGUUAUGGUACUUCCUUGGUAAUAGAAUUUUAUAAGCUUGAACUUCUUUUGGUUUCUUAAACACUGAUAAUAUAAUUUGAUCAAACUUCUCAGCUUUCUUCUCUAUCUAAAGUGUUCUAUUGUAAGCAUUGGUGUUUUUAAUAUUUAUUUCUUGCUAAGCUCUCCAUCAAAAUAUUGAUGGUUCAUCUUUGUUCCUUUUCUUUGCUCAUGUCAUACUUCAAAAUUCAGUGGUUCAAGGCUUCCUCAAGAAAACAGAAUGAUAUAAACAAUAAAAAAAGCGGCUUACUAUAGUGUGAAACAACCUAAAAAGGUAUUACCUUAAUCUU